UACGUAGGGCGCAAGCGUUGUUCGGAAUUACUGGGCGUAAAGCGCGUGUAGGCUGCUUGGAAAGUCGGAUGUGAAAGCCCUGGGCUCAACCUAGGAAGUGCAUUCGAAACUUCUGAGCUGGAGUUCUGGAGAGGAAGGCGGAAUUCUCGGUGUAGAGGUGAAAUUCGUAGAUAUCGAGAGGAACACCGGUGGCGAAGGCGGCCUUCUGGACAGUGACUGACGCUGAGACGCGAAAGCGUGGGGAGCAAACAGG
rnacentral:rRNA from 1 species